GGGCCCGUAGCUCAGCUGGAUAGAGCAGCGACCUUCUAAGUCGCCGGUCGCAGGUUCGAGUCCUGCCGGGCCUGCGA
rnacentral:tRNA from 2 species